AUAUAUAUAUAAAUAAUUAUAAUAAUAAAGUUUUUGAAAUUGAUGACCAAAUAAUAAAGAAAAGCAGCCACUAAGUGCCCAACAUAGAUGGGAACUCCUUCAAUACUGUUUAAAAAGCAUCCCAGGGUGAUACCUCAAGAAGUUGGUUGAGAAAUGUCAAGAGUACAUUUCUGCAAAAUCUAGGCAAAGUGUGGCCACUUUGAAGAUGCUAAAAUAUAACACGGUUUUGAUUUGUUUUGGAUUUUUUUAGUCACAACAAUUCCCAUAGUUCCAUUUAUGUUAUUACAUAGUUGUGAUUACUUUACUAUUAUUCUAAAAAGUAUAUAAAGAAUGAGUAAGUGACCCUAAACCUUUAAACGGUAGUGUAUGCGAUAAAAUCAGUAGUCAUGUUGUAAUUACAAUUUGGGAAAAAUCUUCUUGCUUUUUCCAGUGGACCUUUUUUAAAAACAAUUACCAAUUGUUUACACACUAAAAUUGGAACUUGAAAUGCAAUCACCGAAACCUGAAACCCAUGUACCAAAUCUCUAAACUAAGUCUGCAAAAUUGCAAGCACAGUUCUUGCUUUACACUAAGUUUUCAAUUCUAUAUCACACUUUUUGCAAAACACUACACACAGUUCUCUACUUUAGGCACAACAUUCAAAAUUAAAUUCUGUUUAGUCACUUUGGAAAGCAACACAACACACAAUGCCAAGUUCUAUAAACCAAUUGGCAACACCCACUCCUCACAGGUAUAAACACUAGUUGCUGAAUUGUUCAUUUAGAAAUCAGAGCUUUAGUACUAUAAAAGGCCACACAUGAGCUCUCCUGUUUUGGAGGAAAAUGGAAGUCAGUGGUGAAGCAAAAGCUAGUAGUGCAGAAGUUAGAGUAAGAGAAGGAAGACGAGACCGAUGAAGGAGAGUUGUCUCAGAUGAGGUCAGGGCCACAUUGGUUGACCAUGUGCUCAACCAUGGUUUGAAUAUGAGGGAGGCCGGGCAGAGAGUUCAGCCCAACCUGAGCCCCUACACGGUUGCAUCUAUCAUCCGUACAUUCAGAAAUGAGAACUGAACUGAGAGAAGGCCAGGCCAUGGUGGAAAACACCGGCUGCUCACACCAGAACAGGAGACUAUUGUGAACAUGGUGGUGGCAAACAAUACCAUUAGACUACGAGAAAUCUAGAACCACAUAAUUGCAGACAACACAAUAUUCAAUAACAUUCACCAGGUGGGCUUGACUACAUUGGACUGUGUAUUACAGCGCAAACAAAUCCAGAUGAAACAGGUCUACAGGUUGCCAUUUGAGUGAAACUCAGAGAGGGUUAAAGAACAGCACUAUGAAUAUGUGCAAAGAGUCUUGGAGCUGGAUGCCACUGCAGUUCAGCACAUUUAUAUUUACAUUGAUGAGGCUGGCUUCAACCUUGCCAAAAUAAUGGGACAGAACAUUAUUGGCCACCAUGCCAUCGUGAAUGUCCCUGGACAGCGUGGAUUGAAUAUCACCAUGUGCGCAGCCAUUAACCAGCAAUGCGUUCUCCAUCACCAUGUCAACCUUGGUCCCUACAACACCACCCUUCUCAUCACAUUCCUGGACACACUACAUGGCAUCCUCAUUCCAGCCGAGCAGAGGGGUGGACCCUCUACCAUAUUCCCCA